rnacentral:rRNA from 1 species
AUUGAACGCUGGCGGCAGGCCUAACACAUGCAAGUCGAACGAGUGGCGGACGGGUGAGUAAUGUCUGGGAAACUGCCUGAUGGAGGGGGCUAACUACUGGAAACGGUAGCUAAUACCGCAUACCAUCAGAUGUGCCCAGAUGGGAUUAGCUUGUUGGUGGGGUAACGGCUCACCAAGGCGACGAUCCCUAGCUGGUCUGAGAGGAUGACCGGCAACACUGGAACGGAGACACGGGCCAGACGCGUACGGGAGGCAGCAGUGGGGAAUAUGGCACAAUGGGGGCAAGCAUGAUGCAGCCAUGCCGCGUGUAUGAAGAAGGCCGUCGGGUUGUAAAGUAAUGGCAGCGGGGAGGCGUUACCCGCAGAAGAAGCAACGGCUAACUCCGUGCCAGCAGCCGCGGUAAUUC